rnacentral:rRNA from 1 species
AUUGAACGCUGGCGGCAGGCUUAACACAUGCAAGUCGAACGAGUGGCGGACGGGAGAGUAAUGAUUGGGCCUCUAGCUUGUGGAUGGGGAUAACUACGGGACACUGUAGCUACUAACGCGUACCAUAGCAUGAGCCCAAGUGGGAUUAGGUAGUUGGUGAGGUAAAGGCACACCAAGGCGACGAUCUCUAGCUGGUCUGAGAGGAUGAACAGCCACACUGGAACUGAGACACGGCCCAGACUCCUACGGGAGGCAGCAGUGGGGAAUAUUGCGCAAUGGGGGCAACCUGACGCAGCCAUGCCGCGUGAGUGAAGAAGGCCUUCGGGUUGUAAAGUUCUUUCGGUUGCGAGGCGUUAACUACAGAAGAAGCACCGGCUAACUCCGUGCCAGCAGCCGCGGUAAUUC